GUUAGGAAUAUUGGACAAUGGACGCAAGUCUGAUCCAGCCAUGCCGCGUGAGUGAUGAAGGCCUUCGGGUUGUAAAGCUCUUUAGCCGAUGAUUAUAAUGACUGUAGUCGGAAAAUAAGCCCCGGCUAACUUCGUGCCAGCAGCCGCGGUAAUACGAAGGGGGCGAGCGUUAUUCGGAAUCACUGGGCGUAAAGCGUGCGUAGGCGGUUUUGUAAGUUGGUAGUGAAAGCCCAGGGCUCAACCCUGGAAUUGCUCAAAAAACUACAAGACUUGAAUUCGGGGGAGGAUAGCGGAAUUGUCAGUGUAGCAGUGAAAUGCGUAGAUAUUGACAGGAACACCAGUGGCGUAAGCGGCUAUCUGGACCGACAUUGACGCUGAGGAACGAAAGCGUGGGGAUCAAACAGGAUUAGAUACCCUUGUAGUCC
rnacentral:rRNA from 1 species